CCUACGGGUGGCAGCAGUGAGGAAUAUUGGUCAAUGGACGAGAGUCUGAACCAGCCAAGUAGCGUGAAGGAUGACUGCCCUAUGGGUUGUAAACUUCUUUUAUAUGGGAAUAAAACGUUCCACGUGUGGGAUUUUGUAUGUACCAUAUGAAUAAGGAUCGGCUAACUCCGUGCCAGCAGCCGCGGUAAUACGGAGGAUCCGAGCGUUAUCCGGAUUUAUUGGGUUUAAAGGGAGCGUAGGUGGAUUGUUAAGUCAGUUGUGAAAGUUUGCGGCUCAACCGUAAAAUUGCAGUUGAAACUGGCAGUCUUGAGUACAGUAGAGGUGGGCGGAAUUCGUGGUGUAGCGGUGAAAUGCUUAGAUAUCACGAAGAACUCCGAUUGCGAAGGCAGUUCACUGGACUGCAACUGACACUGAGGCCCGAAAGUGUGGGUAUCAAACAGGAUUAGAUACCCCUGUAGUC
rnacentral:rRNA from 1 species